CCUUCCAAACAGGAUUCACGGAGCCUCACUCCACCUACCACACCAGUUAUACCUUUAGUCCUGAGUUUGAAUUCCAGCUCUGCCACUUAGAACAGUACAAACAGGCAAACUCCUUUAUCUUUCUGUUUCAGAUUCCUCAUCCCAACCACAGAUCAGGUGAGCUAAUGCAAGAGGAGCUCAGAUCACAGUGCCCGGAACAUGGGAAAGGCUUGAUACUUGGUCAGUGUCAUUGAUGUGAUUGGGUGCUUUGGCUUCAGCACGCCUCCCAUGGCUGACCCACUCAGUUGCAGCCGGAGCAAUCUGCCUGUAAUUUUACACCAGACAAAUAACGGGAAUAGAGCUGUCUUGAUUCCAAGUGUCCAGCCUGAAAGAUAGGCUGCACCUCUGUACCAGUCAGAGUUCUUGGUUACAAGGAAGAGAUUAUAUCUUUAGUUGGAAAGAGCAUUUAUUGGAAAGAUAGAGGUCUUUCAGAAGCCAUUGGUGGUAGGAGAACCAGGGUGGAAAAUGAGAAGAAAAUCAGCAUGUUUGGAGAACAAAGACAAAUCCUCUAUUAGCCACUCUCUGCCACAACUGGCACUGAGAUCUAAUUGCCCUUUUCCCUUAGUUCAUCCUCUUCAUGUGCAGAGUCCCUGGAAGGAACAUCUGACUGCAGCCAAGGUGUGGGGAGAGGGACCAUCCAGCUCUUGUUUUCCUGGAGCAUUGUCUCCCACCAAGAAGGAUCAUGGCGGCCACUGUGUUGGAGAUAGACUAAAAAGGGACAGAGCCAGAAGCAAGGGACCAGCUGGGAGGCCACUCCAACUACACAGCACAGCGCCAGAGCCCAUGAAGCGAGGUCAGGUCCUGAUGCUGCUCUGGAUCGAUGGCCCUCGGACGCCCGCGUGAGGCUGUGGCGGCUCAGCAAUUUCCUGCCAUCACUUGCUGCGCACAAAUGAAAUCACUUCCAGUGACCUAAUGCAUGCUGCUGCCACGAGAAAACUGAAAAAAGAGGUGAAGAGGGAGCAGCAGGAGAAGCUGGGGAGCACAGGUGCUCUCAGGCUGUGUCUCUAGGGUGCAGUGAGACUGGAAGGGCAUUUGCAACCCAGGAAGGCAGCUCGCUGUCCAGAAACACGCCUGCCUCCCUUUGCCCACUUGUGAAGUCAUCAGAGGCUACCUGAGAGCCGAGCAUGGGCUUCUGAGGGGUCUGCAAAGACCCUGAACUUGUCUGCAGGCUUUGGUGUGAGUGUGCAGGUUAUCUGGGAAGAUUUCCCAAAGAAUCUGUGCCCCUCAAAAGGUGGCAUUGCCUUAAAGAGCUGGCAGCUUCCCCUCCGGGUUCCCUGAAUAUCGCCAGAGUGAAUUAGCACUGAGAGCUCCGAGAUGUCCUUGCUGGCAGUGGCCAUGGGUGCUGGUCUAUCCACAGCCCCCUGAAGCCGAAGGUGGAAGGUCAGUCCAGCUGCCUUUCUGCUUCCCUGGACUCCCUGCUGUAGCCCCAGCCCUGGAGCCAGCGUGACCCUGGGGGAAGCCUGCCUCUCACUCCAGAGGCAACCUGGGCCCCGCACAACCAGGGCAGCCCUCCCCCCGAGGGAAGAGAAGUGGGGGAAGGGAAGCCACACUCUGGGAUCAGGCGCAGUGCCCAUCACUUCAGAGCAUCCAUUUACUUCUUACAACACCUGCGACAUGGACCUCAUUGUCCCCAUUUUCAAAAGGGUGAAGCUAAGGCCUGGAGACAUUCACUUGCUCAAGAUUACACUGAGACCUCUCUGUUGGGUCAGGUGUGCAGGCCUGCUGUCCCCAGAGCCAAGGCUUUUCAGCCCCAGGACACAAGAGAUCGUUCGGGGGGGGGGCAGUCUGCGAACCAUUGUGUUAUAGCUGUGGUUCCCCCACAGCAGUGUUUGCUCCCACAGUCCAGCAUUUGCACAUCCUGUUUCCACUGUCUGCGGGUCCCGCUCAGCCACUGUGGACUUGAGAAAAAAUCCACUCGCCUGUCAGCCCUCAGCUCAGCUUUCUUCUGUGCUCAGAAACCCUCUCUGCCCUCCCCCAGCCUCCCCCCCCCCCCCGCCCGCAGCCGAUUUCAGUCCUUUCUUCUCAGCUCCCAAAGCACAACACAGACUUUUAUUAAAGGACACAACACGGAGUUCCCGUCGUGGCGCAGUGGUUAGCGAAUCCGACUAGGAACCAUG